rnacentral:lncRNA from 1 species
AGAGGCUGAAUUUGCACAACUUCUUGUUCCUCGAGAUCCCGGGCAUAAUCGUCCCCAAAAAAAACGACGUACCUAAAAAAAUAAAAAACUAGAAUUAAAAGUAUGGACGAAUUAAGAUUGUGUAAAUUGAAAUUGAAAUUGUAAAAAUAAACAGAGUCGAGAAAAGACAUUCUUGGAUUGAGAGAUUCUAGCCUCCGGUUAUCUCGAUCCUCCUUGGGUUCAAUUGUAGGCUUUUAGAUGAUCCUUCUCAUGACAGAAUAAGCCAGUUAUAGUGGAAGAAGACGCAUACAACCAUAAACUCCACUUAGAUUUUAGACUUACGAUAUAGAGGAACCUAACUCUAGCCAACCAUUACUUUUGUGGGACCGUCUUACACUAGAUCAUCACUUUUCAAUGGAGAAUGCCACACCAUUUUGUCUUUUGGGCUUGACAACCACUGACGCAGUAAGCUAACGAACUGACUGUGCAACCUUCCCUAACAAUACAAAGCGGACACCUUUGCACCAGAUGAAAAGAUCACUUUUGAAGGGACAUGGACGAAAGCUUCAGUCCUGUUGUGCGGAGAAACGAUGAAUACUCGUUGAGAAUGCUAAGUGCGGAUUCUAAACCUCAUGAACCCUUUUUGGGGAUUCUCGAUAACCUUUGGCUAGAUGAGUUUAGUGGUUCAAGCUUUUUAGAAAAAAAAUAAGUUUAAUGAAAUGGAAUUUUAUUGAAAAAUAAAAGGAACGAAAGGCUAGAGCUUUUUGGGAGAGGGAGCUUUUAUAGAAAAGAUAAGUGCCAAUUUGUGUCACUCCAUCCUCUAUUUAUAGUACUUAAAAAACCCAAUUUGUUCCUACUUAAAUUCUAAAAGAUAAAUAAAAAUAAAUAAAGAUUAAAGCUAAAAUUAAAUCUAAAUAAUAAUCUUAAAAAUAAUCCUAAUAAAAUUUAAAUAGAGUCUUCUAUUCAUAAAUCUCUUCUUUAAAUUUUUUCCCCAAGUCUUUCGCACUUUGUAUUUUCAGCACCACUUUUUCCCUACUUCGCAUGCUGUCCCAUUUUGUCUUUAAAUUCAUUCUUUUUGCCCCCAAAUUUCCUUUUGCCUUCAAUUUAAUCCCUAAUAGGUAAAAGAACCAUAAAUAACUUAAAUUUGUAGGAUCAAACUCAAAAUAAACAUGUAAUUAAUACAUAAAAAUAUGUCAUUCCAGAGUAUUAUCAAUAUGUUCAUAUAUCGAUCCAUUUGCAAUGUAAAUAACAUAAUAACAAUCAAUAUAAAUAACAUUAAUAUGAUAACCUUUUAUACGAACUUACCUUGAUGACUAAGGCAUAGAAACGAAAUCGAGCUAAUCCGAAACUUUUACUUUUCCCUAAUUUAGGCCCGUACGUGGUUUAUAUUGAUCCAAAUAGAUAAUUAUAUUCAAUUAAGUUUUUCAAUUAACCUCAAACAUUCAAUUCAAUCCAUAAUUCACAUUUAUGCAUAAUUACCAUUUUUCCCCUAAUAUUUUAACUUUUCACAAUUUAGUCAUUAAGCUUAUAACUGUAAACCUAACCAUUUUAAUCAAAUUCCAUAUCAAUUAAACAUACAAGGGACCUUGAAACUAUUCAUAUUUAUUACCAUUUCACAAUAAAACCCUAGAAUUUAUACCUUUAAAAAAUUAGUCCCUAAAUGACAUUUUCAUCACAAAUCACUUUACCAAGACUUGUUUAUUUUUCAAAAAAUGUUCAUAAUCUAUCAUUUAGCAUCACAACCUAUUCAAAUACAUUCAUGGAAAGUCCUUUAACCUUUAAUAGUUUUAUAAAUUGACCUCUGGGCUAGUUAGAUUAAGCUACAACAAUCACAAAAACAUAAAAAUCAUUAAAAACUAACCUUAAAACACCAACAUGCAUGAGGUAGACUUAGCUGAAUCUUUAAAGCACCAAAAAUGGUGUUUUUCUUUAAUAUUUCAGUGGGAGAAACCAAUUAGAAAGAUGAUACCAUCUGUACUUUGUUUUAAUUUUACUUUAUUUAUCAAAUUACUAAAUUAACCUUUGACAUUAACAUUAGAAUUCGCUUAAACUAUGUCCAUAAUUGUCCACUAACCUUUUGAAUGUAUGAUUACCAUUUAAGUCAAUUUACUUUCAUUUCCAUAAUCAUUUAACCCUUUUAACAAAUAGAACUCAACUUUUAUCCUUUUUACGAUUUAGUCUUUUCCCCCUAAUUAAUGAUGCAAACAUCAAAAUUUCUUAAUCAAAUUUUAAUACGACCUGAAUAAAAUCUCAUAGACACUAAAUAAAUGAUAAAAUAUUAAUUUACUUGUCAGAUUCAUGGUCCCAAAACUAUUGUCCCGAUAUCGUAGAAAAUGGGCUGUUACACAAAAUGUGAAAUUUUAUUUAAUAAUAUAAAUAGUAAAUUUAAAUAAAAUUAUUACUAUUUAGGUUUAGGAAUUUUUUUGGAUGAUUUUAAUUUUUUAUUUGGGGGUAAAAGGUGAGAAGUAAAAAUUUAAGGAGAAAUAAAAAGUUUUGGGGUUAAGGGAGUAAAUUUUUUGAGGGAAAGUAAAUUGGGGAGCAAAAUUUUGGGGGAAAUAUUCAAAAAAGGAGGGAAAUUGGGUUUGGGGUAGAAAAGAGUGGGAUGGAAGGAGAGUAAAAGUUUUGAGGGGAAAGUACAGAGGUUUGGGAGUUUGAGAUAAAAAUGUAAAAUAUUAUAAUUUUAUAUUCAGUUUAUUCAAAUUAUUCUAGCCAUUCGAAUUCAAAAACCAAACUCGAUUCAAACUUGAAAUUAAAAAAAAAGUUUGAGUUGACUUGAAUAACUCGAUUCGUUUAACUCGAAAUUCAAAAUUUUUUGUUUGAUUUUUUCGAAUCGAAUCAAGUUUUACUCACCCUUAGAUGGAGAAGGAGGAGAUAUAUUGGGAACAAAGGACACGAGCCAAUUGGUUGAAGAUGUGGGAUAAAAAUAUUGCUUUCUUCCAAAAUUUUGCAUCCCAAUGUAGGUGAAUGAACCAAAUGUGUGGUUUGCAAAAUGAUGAUGGGGAGGUAACUAUGGAUGAAAGAAAGAUGGAGAUGAUAACCCGUAACUAUUUUAAGAAUAUAUUCUCUACAAGGGGUAAUGGCGACAUAGACCAUAUUUUAUUUGGUGUGAAUAAGUGUAUUAUGGAUAACAUGAACUAGAUGUUUUCGAAUAGAUAUACGGGGGAAGAUGUUUAUGUGGCACUAAAAGGUAUGGGUCCAACAAAAGCAUCAUGGGCAGAUGGUUUUUCAACUUCCUUUUUUAGAAAUUUUAGCAUAUCGUUGGGCGUGAUGUUAGGUCAUUUUGCCUGGAAAUUUUGAAUGGAAGUCAGUCUUUGUAAUCUCUAAAACUCACCAACAUUGUGUUAAUACCAAAGAUAGGGCAUCCAGUGAAUUUAAUGAAUUUUAGACCGAUAAGCCUUUGAAUGGUGUUAUAUAAAAUGAUUUCGAAGACAGUUGCUAACCGGUUUUACAAUGUUUUAAAUUGUUGUGUAGACGAAGCCUAAAGUGCAUUUGUUUUGGGCCGUUUAAUCACAGAUAACCUGCUCAUUGCUUAUGAAAUUCUACACACGUUUAAGCAAAAAAGAACAGGUAGGAAAGGUUUAAAGGCAUUAAAUUAGGCAUGAGUAAAGCUUACGAUCAUGUAGAAUGGGAUUUUUUAGGAGUAUGGUAAUUAAAAUAGGAUUUGCUAAGUCAUGGAGUCAAUUUAUUCUGCAAUGUAUUAGCACUAUCUCUUAUUCUAUUAUCUUGAAUGGCGCAACAGGAGAGGUGUUUAAGCCUAAGAAGGGCUUACGACAGGGAGAUCUAUUAAGUCCUUUUAUUUUCUUGAUAUGUAGUGAAAGGCUCUCGACACUAAUGAGGAUGGCAGUGGAGAAGGGUAUAGUAAGAGGGGCAAUAGUAAGUUGAAGGGGUCCACAGAUUUCUCAUCAUAUUUGUAGACAAUUUUAUUUUAUUUGGGGAGGCUACACAGAGGGCGACUUAUAUCCUUAAAAAUAUUUUAAAGGAGUAUGAAGCGUGCUCAGGAUAAUAUAUCAACUAUGAAAAAUCCAUUGUGUUUUUUAGCUCAAAUACCUCCAAAGCUGUAAGGAAUUUAGUUUUGUAGGGACUGGGAGUUCAAUGUUCUAUUAAUCGCAAAAAAUAUUUGGGCUUGUCAAAUAUAGUAGGUCAGAAAUGAUAGGUGUUUCAAGGGUUAAAAGAUUGCAUUAAAUCGAAGAUCAAUAGUUGGAGCACUAGCCAGUUGCGUAAAGGGGUAAGGAGAAUUUUAUGGAAGUAGUGUUACAGGCAAUACCGACUUAUGCAAUGACUUACUUUUUAUUGCCUAAAUCUCUUUGUGUGGGAAUAGAGCGGAUAAUGGCAAAUUUCUAAUGGCAAAAAGCAUAAGGUAAGCGUGUGAUCCAUUGGUGUGAGUGGAGGUCGCUAUGCGAAUUAAAUGAAAAUUGGGGCUUUGGUUUCCAUUGUUUAACAAAAUUCAAUUUAACCUUAAUAGUUAAGCAUGGGUGGAGGUUAAUAAACAAUCCAAAUUUGUUGUUAACUCUAACAUUAAAAGUUAAGUACUAUUCGAUUUUAGAUUUUCUGAGUGUUGGAUUAGGGAAUAUACCUUCCUAUACAUAGAAGAGUGUAAGGGCUACUAAGGGCCUCUUACAAGCUAGGCUUUGCUGGCAGGCCUGGACAGAAAAGGUAAUCCCAAUGGAGGAGGCUGCAUGAGUGCUAGGAGCUGUGAGGUUUAAGAUAUAGCAGGGAGUAAGUGAUCUGAAGAUCAGGUUGGUUGUAGAUUUAAUUGAUGUUGAUAAUAGGAAAAGGAAAGAAGAUACAAUUAAAUAUACCUUCUGCGACAGUGAUGUAAGAUGAAUUUUGUGUAUUCCGUUGGCAAGAUUCCCACAUGAUGAUUACAUAGUGUGGCGAGUGGAGGCAUCCAGGGAGUAUUUGUUGAGGGGCGGAUAUAAACUUAUAUUACAAGGUAUUCUUGAUCUCGUGCUAAAUUAUAAUCAAAAUGAAAAUGUAGAAUUUUACAGAAACUUCGGGGCCUAGAUCUACCCUCUAAUAUUAAAAUUACAGUUUGAAGAACUGGUGUGAAUUUCCUACCUAUCCUAGCUAAUUUACAAUACAAAACAUUAGUUGCAGAAGCAAUUUUCCCAAGAUAUAAAACGAAAUUGGAAACUAGGGAACAUGUUUUUUAGGACUGUCUUGUAACAAAGGAGAUCUGGGAUAAAUUACAGUUUGUAUGGUCACAGGAACUGUUAAAUCUAAAAUAUAUGGAGUGGAUUACCUAUGUUCUGGCGUAUAAACCCAGUGAUUGGUGUUGAACCUUUGUUUGUACUUUAUGGGAAAUUUGGACCGAGAGGAAUAAAUGGCUGCGUGAUGGACAAAAAAGAUCAAGGUCAAGUAUCGCAAACUUCAUUAAAAGCUAUAUUCGAGAAUUGGAUGAGUUGGAGAAGAAGUUACCAAUCAAGAGUCGAGCCAGUGAAAGAUGGUGACCAUUGGAUUCAUCAGUUUUCAAAAUAAACUUUGAUGUUGUAUUUAAUAAUAGAGAAAGCAGGUCUUGUUUGGGAAUGGUGUUACGAGAUUCAAAUAGAGAGAUUUUGAAAUCGAAGAUAGUGAUAAAUGAGGAUAUACUUUCAAUGUUUGCGGCGGAGGCCAUUGCAUGUGUGCAAGUGGUUACACUAAGCAAUGAUUUAGGUUUAACGAUGGUGGAGAUAGAAGGGGACACACUAUUAGUGGUCAAGGAAGUCCAAAGCGAUGGGGUGAAUAGAUUAGAAAUUGGAGCCUACAUUAAGGAUGCGAAACAUUAGGUGAGGGUUUUCAAAAAUAUAGAUUCAAAUGGGUUGGGGGAGGCAAAUGGACUCAUUCUUUGGCAAAUGAAGGGUUAAAGAGGGGAGAACAAAUGUACCUGCAAAAUGAAGUACCUAACUUCGGAAUAGUAGCAACGGAGAAUGAUCGGGGUUGGGAAAGAGAUCUGGAUUUGAGGCGACAUCGAUGAGAACUAGAACGGGAAGUUUUCGUUGGAGAAGGUAUGGGGAAUGUGAAGAAUGCAAAAAGUUUUUCUCCAAAAGCUAUUGUUGAUUCAAGUCAGUUUAGAGGCUUCUAGAACCUGACAGCUCAUUGUUGGAUUAGUUUAUUUAUUUUUGUUGUAUUUUCUUUAUUUUAUUUUAUUGUGUGAUUGUUGUUUAUGCCCAACGGAUUAGAGUGGGCUUUUUUUUUUUGUUUUUUUGUUAUUAUUCAAUCCAACUUAUACUUCUCAAAAAAAAAAAAAAAGAAGAAGAA